UGCGUAAUAGCUCACUGGUCGAGUGAUUCUGCGCCGAAAAUUUAACGGGGCUAAAUUGUACACCGAAGCUUGGGAUACAUCUAAUGUAUGGUAGGAGAGCGUUGUAUACGGGGUGAAGUCAGAGCGGAAGCGCUGGUGGACUGUAUACAAGUGAGAAUGCCGGAAUGAGUAGCGAGAAUUAUGUGAGAAUCAUAAUGGCCGAAAGCCUAAGGUUUUUGGAGGAAGGUUCGUCCGCUCCAAGUAAGUCGGAAGCUAAGGUGAGGCUGAAAAGCGUAGCCGAUGCACAAACGGUUGAAAUUCCGUUACCACAGAAAGAUUUAAACUAAGGGACACUUUUGAAGAGCUGAUGCCGGGUGUUGGUUACCCCGGUCGUAAGGGAACGAAAUUAAGUAGUGAAGUCAGCGUGGAUGAAGGCGAGAAAAGCUUAGUGUAUAUCUUAUGUGUCCGUACCGCAAACCGACACAGGUAGGUAGGAAGAGAAUUCUAAGGCCAACGGGAGAAGGGUAGUUAAGGAACUCGGCAAAAUGUCCCCGUAACUUCGGAAUAAGGGGAGGUUUCUACGGAAACCCGCAGAGAAUAGUCCCAGGCAACUGUUUAUCAAAAACACAGCUCUAUGCUAAAUCGAAAGAUGACGUAUAUGGGGUGACGCCUGCCCGGUGCCGGAAGGUUAAGAGGAGGAGUGAGAGCCCUGAAUCGAAGCCCCGGUAAACGGCGGCCGUAACUAUAACGGUCCUAAGGUAGCGAAAUUCCUUGUCAGGUAAGUUCUGACCCGCAUGAAAGGCGUAAUGAUUUGGGCACUGUCUCAACAGCCCGCCCGGCGAAAUUGUAGUACCGGUGAAGAUGCCGGUUACCCGCGACAAGACGGAAAGACCCCAUGGAGCUUUACUGUAGCCUAAUAUUGGGUUUCGAUGUUGCAUGCACAGGAUAGAUGGGACACAGGGAAACAAUCGCUUUGGCGGUUGCGGAGUGGCCGUUGGGAUACCAUCCUUGCGAUAUUGGAAUUCUAACCUGCGGCUCUGAAUCGAGUCGGGGGACAUUGUUAGGUGGGCAGUUUGACUGGGGCGGUCGCCUCCUAAAAAGUAACGGAGGCGUUCAAAGGUUCGCUCAGCUUGAACGGAAAUCAAGCAAAAGAGUGCAAACGCAGAAGCGAGCCUAACUGCGAGACUGACGGGUCGAGCAGUAACGAAAGUUGGAGUUAGUGAUCCGGUGGUAUGUGAGUGGAAAUGCCAUCGCUCAACGGAUAAAAGCUACCCUGGGGAUAACAGGCUGAUCUCCCCCAAGAGU
rnacentral:rRNA from 1 species